rnacentral:rRNA from 1 species
ACGCUCGACACCUACGGGAGGCAGCAGUGGGGGAUAUUGCACAAUGGGGGGAACCCUGAUGCAGCGACGCCGCGUGAGGGAAGAAGGUUUUCGGAUUGUAAACCUCUGUCCUCAGGGAAGAAGAUGACGGUACCUGAGGAGGAAGCCACGGCUAACUACGUGCCACAGCCGCGGUAAUCUGAGCGGGCUGGCAAGGC